UACGUAGGGGGCAAGCGUUGUCCGGAUUUAUUGGGCGUAAAGAGCGUGUAGGCGGCCUGAAAGGUCAGCUGUGAAAACUCGAGGCUCAACCUCGAGACGUCGGUUGAAACCAUCUGACUAGAGUCCGGAAGAGGAGAGUGGAAUUCCUGGUGUAGCGGUGAAAUGCGCAGAUAUCAGGAAGAACACCCGUGGCUAAGGCGGCUCUCUAGUACGGUACUGACGCUGAGACGCGAAAGCGUGGGGAGCGAACAGG
rnacentral:rRNA from 1 species